UAGAAGGAAAAUGUGUUUUACCCCUACUUUUUAUUGUAGUGGUAGGACAGCACAUGACACUUAGUUUAACUCCACAGUGGAGGCACCUGAGAAUAUGUAAUUACCUUCCUCCCAUUGCUGGGGGAGCCUCCAGUGAUACGUGCAGGGUGAAAGGUUUUUGCAGGUGCUCCACCUUGUUUUGCUCCAGGCUCUUCUAAGAGUUUUUCUAACUCCAGGAGAAGAGCCUGUUUGCUAUAUUACACCAGGAGAAAGUGAAGUACUCUGAUAACUGUUUAAUCUGUGUAGCCAUGUAAGGCAAAGAAGACUGAGUUCUGUCUUCAUUUUACAGAUGUGAAAAUGGACAAGGAUUUGGAAAAGCCCUCGAGGUGUAUCUGUGCUGGAUAUGGAACUGAGUUAUUUCUGUCAGAUGUAUCCUCCUGGGUCUUUUUUGUUCAGGAGGUCCUCAAGUGCUGUGGAAAAAUAGAUGAGUGUCAAUAAUGGAUUUGAACAUGAGCUGCCAACAAGCUGGAUGAACUGUUUGUCUGUCACAUUCACUGAAUAUCCUGAAGUAUCCUUGACAAGAAAGUUGCUGAAUCACAUCACUGUGCAGAGUACAUUCCUCAAAUGGCCUUUCUCUAAUGAUGGAAAAAAAAAUAAGCAAAAAAGAAAGCAGAAGCAAACCUGCAUUAAAAGUCAAAUGAUGAACCAACCAUAUUAUGAGGAAAAGUAAUAGUAUCCUUUUAUUUUAUUUUAUUAUAUUUCUAUUGCUGCAUUGCCUUGGAAUUGAAGGGCAUAGAGUACUCCUUUUCUGUUUUACUGCUGCAUGGCUUGUGCUUAACAAUUUAUGUUGCAGUGCUAAGACCUGCUCUUGCUCCCCUGGAGAAACACACUAAAGUAUUAUUAGACCUAAGUGCAUGGGAGGAAAAGCUCUUAGUAUAAUUUUUUAUGUAUAAAUAUUGCAUACUUUAUAGCCAUUCUUAGACUUUUACCAAAAUAUAAGUU
rnacentral:lncRNA from 1 species